UUUCGCCUGAGGUGUGCGUUGCGAGUUACGUCCCUGAGCCGAUAUUAAAAUCUCCCUGAGCUGGAUAUUAAACUGUUGGUGAGCAGGCUCGCUUGCGAGAAGCCUAAAAAUGGUUACGUCCGGCUCCCUUGAACCGUCUGGUUCAAGGACCAUUACUGGUAACGGCACUUCGGGUCUUUU
rnacentral:other from 2 species